rnacentral:lncRNA from 1 species
GGAAGUGGCAUAGUAGCCUACAAGCCCUAAACCCUCUUCAAAGGUAAGGUUGGGAGGGCCUCAGCAGCUUAAAUACAACUUCUCUUCAACGUGUUUAUUUCCACAAUGAGCCAGCUGGAGAAUUCAAGUAGCCAUCUGCGACGGACUUGCUGGUCUGGGUCUGGUUUCCUCUUAUAAGAGCAAUGGUUUGAAUUUGUAACCCGGGACUUUGGAAACUUGCAUCUUCAAGUCUCAACUCGAAUAGCCUGGGGGAACUUGCCAAUCGUAUGCAGCCUCUUCUGUUAGCUUUAUUGUUCCUGGCUGUUCAGUUUCCCAGAUGUUGAAGACAAGAUGUUGCAUACUGACACUGGAUAUCGGACCCAGUCUAUGCUUAGGUCAUCACUGUGAAAACAGAAGCGGUAUGACUCAUUUCAAGCGUCUGAUUUACACACCCAUGAAGGAGCUCCUUCAGAUUGUUAUAUCCCUUCUCGCUACAAGUCCCACUUUCAAAGCCAGCUAGCCCCAGCUUCCCCAGCGGUGGAACUCAGAAAUCCAGACAACAGUUUUCAUGAAGCUGAUCAGCAGGAGCUUCCUCUGCCAGGCCUGCUCCCCAAAGGAAGAACGCUCAGAGCCAGGCCUUGGAGAUGAGAGAUGAGAUGCGUAAUGAAGAGCUGUUUGUUUUCUAGAGAUCUACAAGUCAAUUUGGGAUGCUUCAUCGGCCAAGUUUCUAUCUCUGUACUAGGCAACCAUUACAUGUUUACAGUUUGAAUAAAAUGUCCAUCCUUGCUUUCCA